GAUGAACGCUGGCGGCAUGCCUAAUACAUGCAAGUCGAACGAGAGAGACAUUGGUGCUUGCACCUUUGUUGAUCUAGUGGCGAAUGGGUGAGUAACACGUGAGUAACCUGCCCUCUAGACUGGGAUAACUUCUGGAAACGGAUUGUAAUACCGGAUGUCACCUCAUUACCGCAUGGUAGUGAGGAAAAGCUUAGAUGCACUAGAGGAUGGACUCGCGGCGCAUUAGCUAGUUGGUGAGAUAGAAGCUCACCAAGGCAAUGAUACGUAGCCGACCUGAGAGGGUGAUCGGCCACAUUGGGACUGAGACAUGGCCCAG
rnacentral:rRNA from 1 species